GAUGAAGAACGUAGCGAAAUGCGAUAAGUAGUGUGAAUUGCAGAAUUCAGUGAAUCAUCGAAUCUUUGAACGCACAUUGCGCCCCUCGGUAUUCCGUGGGGCAUGUCUGUUCGAGCGUCAUUUAACCCCUCAAGCCCAGCUUGGUAUUGGGUGCUUGUCCCGCCUCUCGCGCGGCGACUCACCUCAAAGUCAUUGGCAGCCCGCAUCUCGCCGGCCGUGAGCGCAGCACAGACGCGCUCUUGGCAACGACGGAUCGGCUCUCCAAAAGCUUAUUUCAACCACUGACCUCGGAUCAGGUAGGGAUACCCGCUGAACUUAAGCAUAUCAAUAAGCGGAGGA
rnacentral:misc_RNA from 1 species